rnacentral:ncRNA from 1 species
CCGCAGCAAUGCGGCGAAGAGGGAAACCGGUUCAAGUCCGGUGCGGUCCCGCCACUGUAAGCGAAGAGCGACGGCAAAAGCCAUUGGGAAACCGAGAAGGCGCCGAAGCGACGAUGCGCAAGCCAGGAGACCUGCAUAGAAA